rnacentral:miRNA from 1 species
AGUGUGCGCAUGCAUGUUUGUG